GAGAGUGUGACCCAAAUGACGCGCCAAGUGCGCUCAUUAGCUGGUGCGCAUCGUGACACACUCGGCGCAGAUUAGUUUUGUCCACACAUUAUGACUCUAUAUAUAUCUCAAUCCAUCACUGGCAGUGGUAGUUAUACUUAGCUUGAAGUCAGCGGAUUACCAACGAAAAGCUGGUGCUCAUUUACGAUCAGAUAAGUCUCGGGUUUAAUGGACCAAGUGGUUGCUGAAAAUGGAGUUCAACAGGUUGAAUUACUUUUUGCUGUUAAUGAUGAUCAUGGAGGUGUAAUAGUGGAAAUGAAGGAACCUAUGGAUUCCAAGGCCUUUCUUUCUCUGCUCAGGGCUUCAAUAUCACAGUGGAAGCAACAGGGCAAGAAUGGUGUUUGGAUUAAAUUGCCCAUUGGACUUGUAAAUCUCGUUGAAACUGCAGUUAAGGUAACUGGUCAGGGGUUAGUACUGGUCUAGAAUAUAGUCUUUACUCCAUUAACCUGUAGGCCUCGACAACUCACUUAAAAUUGAGGGUAAAUUACUCAUUACUUGUCUGAAAUCUAGUCUAGCGACCCAAAUAAUCCAUCACCCUCUAAACCUUAAUCAGCUUGAGAUUAAGUUCAUCAUAUCAGAUAUGCGAUUUAAUGAGAUGUAUGUUUUUGUCAGAAUGCAAUUUGAUACAUGUUUUAUGUUUGUAUCCAAAGCAGAUACUGUUAGCUGUUGUGUUGAUCUGUGUAAACUUUUACUCAACCUAUACCCAACUGAGAGAGAGAUUUAUAAUUUGGCUUUGGGCCGUAGUAGAAGCCGGGCAGAGAGAGGUCUGAGCGUGUUUGGGUCAGACUAACGUGGGCUUUUCCAGGGUUGGUUUGAUCAGUCGAGGCUCAGGCCCCAUGUUUGGGCUGAACUAACUUGGGCCUAUCCAGAUUUGGUUUUCUCGGUCGAGUCCCAGGUCCCAAGUUUGGGCUGAGCUAACUUGGCUGAGGUGAUUGUCGACCAACCCGGGUUUCGUUGUUCGCACAUUUAGCUUGGCGGGAAAGGUCUUCUGAAUACCGGCUUAAUCUGUUUGGAGCUCAGUCGUACCGGAAUGUUACUGAGCUCGGUUGUGAUGGAGCUCGGCGAGUGGCGCCGUCGGACUCGUUACAUAGCACGGUCGUAGGAGGCCGAGGUGAUGCCGUCGGGCUGCCCCAUUUCCGCU